rnacentral:lncRNA from 1 species
AUAUUUUUUAAAAAAAGUAAUAAGUAAAUCUUUCAGAAAAUAUUGUAAAUAUUUUGUUAAUAAUACAUGUCUAGAGAUAUUUCCAUAGUCGUAUAAUUUUAUAUAUUAAAUUAUGAAGUAACUGUAGGUAUUUUACUGUUAAUAAAAAUGCUUGUUACCUUUUCUACAAAGAUAACCUUGCACUUUAUUCCAAAAGCUUAAGCUUAUCAUGUCAUUUGCAGAAUGGAACAGUUCUUUUCUCAAAAUUUUAAAGAAUGAAUGAUUUUUAGCAUAUUAGAUUAGCAUAUUAGUAUAAAGGAUUCAGGCUUUUUUUUUGAAUCAUCACUAAGAGUUUAAAUUUUAAAAUAUUCCAGCCUUAUUAUUAAGCACAUCAGUGAAAUUUAAAUUGAAAAUUACUUUGUCUAUUGUAAAAGCCAUAGUCAACAGCUUAGAAAAAAAUCACUGUUUUUAUAAAUUAGGGCUUUUGUUUUUGUUUGUUUUUGAGACAGGAGUAUUACCUUGUAGCCUUGACUGGUCUGGAACUUGCUGUGUACACCAGGCUGGGCCCGACUCAGAGAUCCACCUGCCUCUGACUGCUGAGUGCUAGGAUUGAAGGUGUGCUGUUUGCUUUUUACACUUUAACAUUUUGUGUACCAGCCAGCAUACAUCUAUCUAUAGUGAGAAUGCUUAUAGACAGAAAUCAUCUUAUUAAACUGGUCCUUUGGACUACUCCUCACUAUUCAAGUCUGUGCAUUUUUAUUGUGUAAGUAAUGGGUUUGUUGCUAAAACUGGUGAAAGUCAAGAUAUUAAAAUUAUUAUUAAAAUAGUUUUCCUAUGAAGUAUAUAAUUCACAAGGCUAUUCUUAGGUGAUGUAGAUACUGUAGUCAUUAUUGUAGAGUUAUUCUCUGAAGCAAAAUAAACUGUCCUUUUCUCACUGUAAUUUUUACCCCUGUUCAUAGCAUGCUUUAGUUCACAUUUAGUUACUGACUUUUGUUAAGAAUCUAAAUCCAAAUCGUCUUUGAAGGAAAGACAAUUUUUGACAGCUAAGAGGUAGAAGAAGAGUGUGAGGGAAAGGUAGAGUGAAUGUUCAGUAGAGUUAAAUUGUUCAGUCUGUGCUUUCAGUGUUAAGAAACAUGCCUUUUUAAAAUGUAUUUACUUCUUUGAAGCUCAAAUGAUAUAUGGAAGUGUGUCUCUGUGUUUGCAUGUGCACACACAUCCCCACAAUCCCCCAAAAAAUGUUUUAAAAGUUAACAGUUUUAAGCAUAUAGCAGAAUUUAGUGUACUAGAAAUUAUAAUAUUCAGCAUAUUUUAAGAUGGCCACUGUAAUGGCAAAGAGGUACUGACAAAGAACAUCUCUUUUACUAUAUCCAAUUUUAGUGAUUUGAAUAAACCUCCAGUGCUAUUGUAGUUUUUAAACUGUUCAUAAAUUUGAGAAAAUAAUUUAACUUGUUUGCUUUAAGUGCUGGAAUUAUGUGUUUAAUAAAUAUGUCUGUUUUGUUGGAUGCUUACAUUUAUCAGAUCAACAAUGGAAGGGCAUCUAAAGGAGUAUAAAACAUGCAGGAGUUUAUAUUCAGGUUCACAGAUUUAUGUUGGUUGUGAUAAUCCUGAAGUAGUGCAAUAGUGGAUACUUUUUACCUUUUGUUUUUCUGUAUUUUGUUAAAAUUAUCAGAAUAUUUAAAAAUAAUUCUAUCCAUAAGAUUGCAGCUUCAUUUUGGCACAUUUUAAAUAUAAGUUUCUUUACUCUUCCUUGAGUUUGCUCAGAGGCCUUUGCUGUCUGUUCAUUCUUGUUGUAAAAUUGUGUGUCAGCAGCAGCACAGCAUUUUCUUUACUAGAAAGGACACAGAACAACAUUGGGAGUUGUUAUACUAUGAUUUUUUUUUCAACUUGAAAGCAUAAAACUCAAAUUUGAUGUUAAUUUUAUCACCAUCAUUUGUUUUUCAAAUGUAGCUGUCCUGUAUUCUAGGAUUUCUUGUGUUCUUUGCAGUCAUGGGUUAUUGAGAAAUGUAGAGGACUUUGUUAUACCUCUGGCUUCCUGCAGUAGCCUGUGCUAAGUGAUCCUGAGGUACUUGGCUUUUGCCAUCCCUGCUCUCAUAGGCUUGUCUUCUAAACAUGCAGUCUUUCCUAGGAGAGCAGGAAAGUACUUAGAAACACCCCUUGACAUACCAAAGAAAGUAUAAUUGGUGUUCAUUUUAAUUUACAGUAGAA